AAAGCACUAACAAGGGAAUUGAACUCCUGAGGGUUUGAGAAAACACAAAUUCAGUGGCAGAAAGUUUGGAAGGAUAUAAAAACUCGAGUCAGAGCCAAAGCUGUAAGCCUUAAAAAUGCCCGCAUCAAAACUGGCAAUUUUCCUAUGGAUAAUAAUACGCUAUCGGAAGAAGAUUUGAUGAUCCUCGGAUUGAUAGGACCUGCUGCAAGGGAAGGGUGCAGGGUCCCUGAUUCGGUGCCUGAAGAGAUGUCUGCAAUUACACAACUGCGGGAAGCAGACGAGUCAGUUUUAAACGAGAUACCUACUCAUAUAUCAGUAUUUGAAGAAUACAAUAUAGUGUCGACAAGCACCACAAUUGAAUCAGACACGGCAAUAGGACAGGAGGAGGAACACACCAUCCAAGAAGCUGAU